rnacentral:rRNA from 1 species
AUUGAACGCUGGCGGCAGGCCUAACACAUGCAAGUCGAGCGGAUGAAGGGGGCUUGCUCUCUGAUUUAGCGGCGGACGGGUGAGUAAUGCCUAGGAAUCUGCCUGGUAGUGGGGGAUAACGUUCCGAAAGGAACGCUAAUACCGCAUACGUCCUACGGGAGAAAGCAGGGGACCUUCGGGCCUUGCGCUAUCAGAUGAGCCUAGGUCGGAUUAGCUAGUAGGUGAGGUAAUGGCUCACCUAGGCGACGAUCCGUAACUGGUCUGAGAGGAUGAUCAGUCACACUGGAACUGAGACACGGUCCAGACUCCUACGGGAGGCAGCAGUGGGAAAUAUUGGACAAUGGGCGAAAGCCUGAUCCAGCCAUGCCGCGUGUGUGAAGAAGGUCUUCGGAUUGUAAAGCACUUUAAGUUGGGAGGAAGGGCAGUAAGUUAAUACCUUGCUGUUUUGACGUUACCGACAGAAUAAGCACCGGCUAACUUCGUGCCAGCCGCCGCGGUAAUAC